rnacentral:rRNA from 1 species
AGUCGACGGUGAUAGUAAUAUCAUAGUGGCGCACGGGUGCGUAACACGUAUGCAACCUACCUUAUACUUAGGGAUAGCCUUUGGAAACGGAGAUUAAUACCUAAUAGUACAUUGAUUUGGCAUCGGAUUAAUGUUAAAGAUUUAUUGGUAUAAGAUGGGCAUGCGUCCAAUUAGUUAGUUGGUUAGGUAACGGCUGACCAAGACGAUGAUUGGUAGGGGAACUGAGAGGUUAAUCCCCCACACUGGCACUGAGAUACGGGCCAGACUCCUACGGGAGGCAGCAGUAGGGAAUAUUGGGCAAUGGAGGGAACUCUGACCCAGCCAUGCCGCGUGCAGGAUGAAGGCGUUAUGCGUUGUAAACUGCUUUUAUAUAGGAAGAAAUAGUCCUUGCGAGGAAAGUUGACGGUACUAUAUGAAUAAGCACCGGCUAACUCCGUGCCAGCAGCCGCGGUAAUACGGAGGGUGCAAGCGUUGUCCGGAUUUAUUGGGUUUAAAGGGUGCGUAGGCGGUUUAUUAAGUCAGUGGUGAAAGACGGUCGCUCAACGAUUGCAGUGCCAUUGAUACUGGUAGACUUGAGUAUGAUUGAGGUAGCUGGAAUGGAUAGUGUAGCGGUGAAAUGCAUAGAUAUUAUCCAGAACACCAAUUGCGUAGGCAAGUUACUAAGUCAUAACUGACGCUGAGGCACGAAAGUGUGGGUAUCAAAC